GGUUAGCUCAGUUGGUAGAACGCUCCACCUGUAGUGGAGAGGUCCCGGGUUCGAUACCCGGACCAGGCG
rnacentral:tRNA from 1 species